CUCGGCCUGUAAUGCAGUCCUAUUUAUGCAAAUGCAAGUAUUGAAAGACCCUUCGUUCUACCGCUUAAACUUAAGCUACCGUCCUGAAGAGCUUCAUUCUUUUGUCCAUAAGUAAUUCAUUAUGUCGGCUUAAGUGCGCAAUUUUGCGUUUUAAAAAUUAUUUUUCAGGAGACAUACUAUGUCUAAAGCAACUGGUACAGUUAAGUGGUUUAACGACGAGAAAGGUUUUGGUUUCAUCACUCAAGACAACGGCGGUGCAGACGUAUUCGUACACUUCCGUGCAAUCACUGGUGAAGGCUUCAAAUCUCUAGCUGAAGGCCAAAAAGUGACUUUUGACAUCGAGCAAGGUCAAAAAGGUCCUCAAGCUGCUAACGUUGAGCGCGUUUAAUUUCUGAUUAAUCAGAAUUAAAAAAUUCCUAAAGGGUGCCUAUAUGGCGCCCUUUUUUUA
rnacentral:sRNA from 1 species